GGAGAUCAGCGACGCGGGGGUUUUCAAAUGGACAGAAGAACACGUGUGUGUUUAUCCGGUGGAGAGUGGCUCAUGAUGCUGAAUGCUGUCAUCAAAGGCUAAAGCUUUUGUGGUGGAGCAGGACCUGCAAGGAAAGAUGAUGGCAGCAUUUGUUGGGGAAAAAAAGGUUUUAGGGAUUUUACUCAAAUAUAAAGGUC